GAUGAACGCUGGCGGCGUGCUUAACACAUGCAAGUCGAACGGGAAUUACUUUAUUGAAACUUCGGUCGAUUUAAUUUAAUUCUAGUGGCGGACGGGUGAGUAACGCGUGGGUAACCUGCCUUAUACAGGGGGAUAACAGUCAGAAAUGGCUGCUAAUACCGCAUAAGCGCACAGAGCUGCAUGGCUCGGUGUGAAAAACUCCGGUGGUAUAAGAUGGACCCGCGUUGGAUUAGCUUGUUGGUGGGGUAACGGCCCACCAAGGCGACGAUCCAUAGCCGGCCUGAGAGGGUGAACGGCCACAUUGGGACUGAGACACGGCCCAGACUCCUACGGGAGGCAGCAGUGGGGAAUAUUGCACAAUGGGGGAAACCCUGAUGCAGCGACGCCGCGUGAAGGAAGAAGUAUCUCGGUAUGUAAACUUCUAUCAGCAGGGAAGAUAGUGACGGUACCUGACUAAGAAGCCCCGGCUAACUACGUGCCAGCAGCCGCGGUAAUACGUAGGGGGCAAGCGUUAUCCGGAU
rnacentral:rRNA from 1 species